AUGAAAUAUGUGCUGUUAAUGCAUGAUUUUACAAGCAAAACGAAACCAUCUUAUAUUCUGCGAUUGGUUGGUGCUCUGCUCACUGCUGACCAACUACCAUUAACAUCCCUAUCAUCAUUGAACCAAAGUUUGAGAUUGUGCCCUAUAUAUGCCACAGAAAAGAACAUCAGCAAUUUUCUGGCAUUGAAAUUGGCCCAAAAAUUCCCAUUUUUCAUGCAAGUGGUUAACCUGACAUAUUUCUUACAGAAAUGUCGAAAAGGAUCGGCCAUCAAUGUUUUCACUCAAUGCAAAUGCUGUUUCAAAUUCUGUUAG
rnacentral:rRNA from 1 species